rnacentral:rRNA from 1 species
CUUGAUUAAAUGGAACGUGUAUCAUUUCCUAGCCAUUAUACGGAUAUAUUAUUAUAUCUUAUGGUAUUGGGUUUUGAUGCAAGCUUCUUGAUCAAAGUAUCACGAGUUUGUUAUAUAAUCGCAAACAAAUUCUUUAAUGAGACGAUGCAUUUAUGUAUUUUUGAAUUGAAAAUUUGGUAUAACUCCAAUUACUCAGGUAUGAUCCAAUUCAAG